rnacentral:rRNA from 1 species
UCAAGUAAUUAAGUGCAUGUGGUGGAUGCCUUGGCAGUCAGAGGCGAUGAAAGACGUGAUAGCCUGCGAAAAGCUCCGGGGAGGCGGCAAAUAUCCUUUGAUCCGGAGAUGUCUGAAUGGGGAACCCACCUACUUUAAGGUAGGUAUUGCAACAUGAAUACAUAGUGUUGCAAGGCGAACGAGGGGAAGUGAAACAUCUCAGUACCCUUAGGAAAAGAAAUCAAUUGAGAUUCCCUCAGUAGCGGCGAGCGAACGGGGAUCAGCCCAUUAAGUUAUGUGUGUUUUAGUGGAACGCUCUGGGAAGUGCGAACGUAGAGGGUGAUAUUCCCGUACACGAAAGGGCACACAUAAUGAUGACGAGUAGGGCGAGGCACGUGAAACCUUGUCUGAAUAUGGGGGGACCAUCCUCCAAGGCUAAAUACUCCUGACUGACCGAUAGUGAACCAGUACCGUGAGGGAAAGGCGAAAAGAACCCCUGUGAGGGGAGUGAAAUAGAUCCUGAAACCGCAUGCAUACAAGCAGUGGGAGCACCUUUGUGGUGUGACUGCGUACCUUUUGUAUAAUGGGUCAGCGACUUAUAUUCAGUAGCGAGGUUAACCGUAUAGGGGAGCCGUAGAGAAAUCGAGUCUUAAUAGGGCGUUUAGUUGCUGGGUAUAGACCCGAAACCAGGCGAUCUAUCCAUGAGCAGGUUGAAGGUUGGGUAACACUAACUGGAGGACCGAACCCACUGUCGUUGAAAAGCCAGGGGGAUGACUUGUGGAUAGGGGUGAAAGGCUAAUCAAGCUCGGUGAUAGCUGGUUCUCCCGAAAGCUAUUUAGGUAGCGCCUCGGACGAAUACCAUAGGGGGUAGAGCACUGUUUCGGCUAGGGGGUCAUCCCGACUUACCAAACCGAUGCAAACUCCGAAUACCUAUGAGUACUAUCCGGGAGACAGACUGCGGGUGCUAACGUCCGUAGUCAAGAGGAAAACAAUCCAGACCGCCAGCUAAGGCCCCAAAAUCAUAGUUAAGUGGGAAACGAUGUGGGAAGGCAUAGACAGCUAGGAGGUUGGCUUAGAAGCAGCCACCCUUUAAAGAAAGCGUAAUAGCUCACUAGUCGAGUCGGCCUGCGCGGAAGAUGUAACGGGGCUAAAACUAUGUGCCGAAGCUGCGGAUGUAUACUUUGUAUACGUGGUAGGGGAGCGUUCUGUAAGCCGAUGAAGGUGUGUUGAGAAGCAUGCUGGAGGUAUCAGAAGUGCGAAUGCUGACGUGAGUAACGACAAAACGGGUGAAAAACCCGUUCGCCGAAAGACCAAGGGUUCCAGUCCAACGUUAAUCGGGGCUGGGUGAGUCGACCCCUAAGGCGAGGCCGAAAGGCGUAGUCGAUGGGAAAAUGGUUAAUAUUCCAUUACUUCUGUGUAAUGCGAUGAGAGGACGGAGAAGGCUAAAUCAGCCUGGCGUUGGUUGUCCAGGUGAAAGGAUGUAGGCAUGUAUCUUAGGCAAAUCCGGGGUACUCUAUGCUGAGAUCUGAUAGCAAGCUGUACUUGUACAGCGAAGUGGUUGAUGCCAUGCUUCCGUGAAAAGUCUCUAAGCUUCAGUUACACAGGAAUCGUACCCGAAACCGACACAGGUGGUCAGGUCGAGUAGACCAAGGCGCUUGAGAGAACUCUGCUGAAGGAACUAGGCAAAAUGGUACCGUAACUUCGGGAGAAGGUACGCUGUUGUUGGUGAUGGAACUCGCUUCCUGAGCUGACGACAGCCGCAGAAACCAGGCCGCUGCAACUGUUUAUUAAAAACAUAGCACUCUGCAAACACGAAAGUGGACGUAUAGGGUGUGAUGCCUGCCCGGUGCUGGAAGGUUAAUUGAUGGGGUUAGCGUAAGCGAAGCUCUUGAUCGAAGCCCCAGUAAACGGCGGCCGUAACUAUAACGGUCCUAAGGUAGCGAAAUUCCUUGUCGGGUAAGUUCCGACCUGCACGAAUGGCAUAAUGAUGGCGGCGCUGUCUCCAGCAGAGGCUCAGUGAAAUCGAAAUCGCUGUGAAGAUGCAGUGUACCCGCGGCUAGACGGAAAGACCCCGUGAACCUUUACUGCAGCUUGACACUGAACUUUGACCUUACUUGUGUAGGAUAGGUGGGAGGCUUUGAAGCUGGAACGCUAGUUCCAGUGGAGCCGUCCUUGAAAUACCACCCUGGUAAUGUUGAGGUUCUAACUCUGUCCCGUGAUCCGGGACGAGGACCGUGUCUGGUGGGUAGUUUGACUGGGGCGGUCUCCUCCUAAAGAGUAACGGAGGAGUACGAAGGUGCGCUCAGCGUGGUCGGAAAUCACGCGUAGAGUAUAAAGGCAAAAGCGCGCUUAACUGCGAGACCCACAAGUCGAGCAGGUACGAAAGUAGGUCUUAGUGAUCCGGUGGUUCUGUAUGGAAGGGCCAUCGCUCAACGGAUAAAAGGUACUCUGGGGAUAACAGGCUGAUACCGCCCAAGAGUUCAUAUCGACGGCGGUGUUUGGCACCUCGAUGUCGGCUCAUCUCAUCCGGGGCUGAAGCAGGUCCCAAGGGUAUGGCUGUUCGCCAUUUAAAGAGGUACGCGAGCUGGGUUUAGAACGUCGUGAGACAGUUCGGUCCCUAUCUACCGUGGGCGCUGGAAAUUUGAGAGGAUCUGCUCCUAGUACGAGAGGACCAGAGUGGACGAACCUCUGGUGUACCGGUUGUGACGCCAGUCGCAUCGCCGGGUAGCUAUGUUCGGAAGGGAUAACCGCUGAAAGCAUCUAAGCGGGAAGCCUACCUCAAGAUAAGAUUUCCCUAGGACUUUAUGUCCUCUAAAGAGCCGUUCGAGACUAGGACGUUGAUAGGUUGGAUGUGGAAGCAUAGUGAUAUGUGAAGCUGACCAAUACUAAUUGCUCGUGAGGCUUGACUA